rnacentral:rRNA from 1 species
UACGGGGGGGGCAAGCGUUGUUCGGAAUUACUGGGCGUAAAGGGCUCGUAGGCGGCCAACUAAGUCAGACGUGAAAGCCCCCGGCUCAACCGGGGAACGGCGCGGGAAACUAGCAGGCUUGAGUUCGGGAGAGGGAAGCGGAAUUCCGGGUGUAGCGGUGAAAUGCGCAGAUAUCCGGAGGAACACCGGUGGCGAAGGCGGCUUCCUGGACCGACACUGACGCUGAGGCGCGAAAGCUAGGGGAGCAAACGGG